rnacentral:piRNA from 1 species
UGAAUCCACAAUCUUAGAAAACAGGUUCAA